AGUUUAUAGGGGGGAGGGCAAAAUCUAAUUUAUCAGAAAGGUUUCGUCUAACCGCCGUAUUUUGUUGGGGAGACAUAAGUGAAAUUGAAUUUAACUACUUACAGGUGACACAGCUAUAGUUGAGGUUAAAUGAUCCUCGGUAGGGAUUUAAAGACUAAGUU
rnacentral:rRNA from 1 species